rnacentral:rRNA from 1 species
GACGAACGCUGGCGGCGUGCCUAACACAUGCAAGUCGAGCGGAGGUAAGCGGAUGGUAACUGAAGCUUACUUUAGCGGCGGACGGGUGAGUAACACGUGGGCAACCUGCCUCAAAGAGGGGGAUAACACCGAGAAAUCGGUGCUAAUACCGCAUAACAUACACACAUCGCAUGGUGAGUGUAUCAAAGGAGAAAUCCGCUUUGAGAUGGGCCCGCGGCUGAUUAGCUAGUUGGUGAGGUAAUGGCUCACCAAGGCAACGAUCAGUAGCCGACCUGAGAGGGUGACCGGCCACACUGGAACUGAGACACGGUCCAGACACCUACGGGAGGCUG